rnacentral:rRNA from 1 species
GAUGAACGCUGGCGGCGUGCCUAAUACAUGCAAGUCGAGCGAACAGACGAGGAGCUUGCUCCUCUGACGUUAGCGGCGGACGGGUGAGUAACACGUGGAUAACCUACCUAUAAGACUGGGAUAACUUCGGGAAACCGGAGCUAAUACCGGAUAAUAUAUUGAACCGCAUGGUUCAAUAGUGAAAGACGGUUUUGCUGUCACUUAUAGAUGGAUCCGCGCCGCAUUAGCUAGUUGGUAAGGUAACGGCUUACCAAGGCAACGAUGCGUAGCCGACCUGAGAGGGUGAUCGACCACACUGGAACUGAGACACGGUCCAGACUCCUACGGGAGGCAGCAGUAGGGAAUCUUCCGCAAUGGGCGAAAGCCUGACGGUGCAACGCCGCGUGAGUGAUGAAGGUCUUCGGAUCGUAAAACUCUGUUAUUAGUGAAGAACAAAUGUGUAAGUAACUAUGCACGUCUUGACGGUACCUAAUCAGAAAGCCACGGCUAACUUCGUG